CUGGAACUUAGACUCCAGGAGGUCGAUGAGGGCCUGCGGUUUCUCCGAGUAGGACGGCGCAUGGUGUUUCCAGUUCAGUAGAUCAGCGGUGGAGAAAGGCUGAUGAUACAGGGGAGGCUGCCCCGGCUGGAUGGCUCUGUCAUCCCGCGCCUGUGGCGGACCGUAUAUUUCACGCAGAGGCAUCUGGAAGGCGGGGGUAAGGGGUUGGGCAGACCGCAACCAACGAGAGAGUGAUGGAGACGCCGGUGGUGGAGAAACUGAUGGAGUUGGGGUUUCAGGUGCAGUCGGGGGUGUCUGGGAGGGUGGCGUGACUUGUGGGUUGUAAGGCAGAGGUAGGUCCUCGAUCAAGUCUCCCUGAUGUAUCUUUGUCUUGAGAUCUCAGACCCUCUGAGCCACUAGAACCCUACUCUGUCCCUCAUCAGCGCAGAACCAAACCCAACAAGGCAUAGUUUGAGCAAUCUCCAGCCAUGUAUCUAUAUAUGGGAAUUGAUCCGGGUGACCCGGAAUCCCAGUCACCACUCUGCACACUGAACGUAUAGUGGGCAGGUCAAGGGUUCCCUCCGCAGGCCAGCCUACUCCGAAGGUCGGCCAUUCCAGCUCACAGAGGGUUCUUAAUCUGUCGGGUGUCAUCGUGACCCCAUACCCGCCCUUAAUACCCACCCUUAAAGCCUGUUUUAAAAUUUUUCAGCAUGCACCCCAGAACUGUUGGCUUGGACUCGAACCCUCCUAUGUUUUCCCAUCCCCUUCUCCACCGACAAAAACCUUGUCCCUGCCCAGACUCUGGGCCCUGCUGCCACAGAACCCCAGGUUAGGACCCACUCAAACCCCUUAGCUGUGGGGCUACAGACACAAUGACCACAAGCAGUCACUGUGUUCCUUCCACUCACAUUCACUGACACAUUCCCUCCCCUGGGGGAUCCCUGUCCUUAGGAGGCGAUCAGGCUCCUCUUCCGUCCCACUGAUGGGCUCUAGGAGCUGGGCGGGCUCCUCUUCCGUCCCACUGACGGGCCUACACCCUAGGAGCUGAUCAGGCUGCUCUUCUGUCCCUCUGACGGGCCUACCUUGGGCGGGUCCCGGGACCCUACCUUGUAAGCCGGGCACCCACCCGCUCAGCCCCCUGCCGUGGAGGCCAGCACCUGCCGGUGGCCUGUGUCAGUGCCCCUGCUUCCCCUCCCUCAGCAAGGCCUUGGCAAGUAUUGCCCUUGGCCAACAGCUCUUGGCACUGAAGGAGACAGAUGCCGCUCAGCGCCGGCUUGUCUCAGCCCGCCGUCUGCCGUCCCAGUGGCUUCACGGGGCCAGCUCGGUCGGCUUUCCCGGUCAGGAAACCAAAAUGUUGCGGCAAAGGUUACAGCUAGUGUUACAGCUGGUGUUACAGCGCUUGACCGGGGAGAGAACCGAGCGGCACACGGAGAGCCGGAGAGCAGUCUUUACUCCUCCAGCAGGCUCGGCCGACUUCUGACUUCUGACCCCUCUUGCCACAACAUUAUUACCUUCUCUGUGCCCUAAUACCUCCAUCUGUUAAAUGGGUACCAGUAUAGCAUCUAUGGUGAAACCUGCGUGUAUUAAGUAAAACUGGGGGACGUUGCUUGGUUGUGUGGCUAGGGUGCCAGCGAUGUCAGCUGGCUGCGGUGCACGAGGAGGGGAGUGCUGAGGGCGAGCAGAGGCAUGGAGCGCUGAGGAGGAGAGGGCUUUGAGGAGAUGGGGUCAGGAUGACAAAGGAAGCACACAGGGAGCACUCGAGGGCAUUAUGUCAUUAAUUCUCAUGCAUCUCUGUGCGAGGAGCUCAAGUCUACAGAUGGGCUCAAGUCUACAGAUGAGGAAACCAAGGCUCCUGGGAGGAAGUGACUGGCACAAGGUGGCUCAGCUAGACAGACGUGGAAGCUGGAAUUCCAGUCCACAUCUGAACGACCAACAGCCUGUGUGCCCUCACUGCCCGUCAGGAGCCUCCGGGGGGGGGGCGAGAAGGAUGAAGGCUGCCCUGCGUGAGGGGAAGGGCCAGGCCGGUCCGGGCAGCAGGGGGCAGCAGGCGGGGGUGCAGAUCGGCUGGCAGAGAAGACACGGAUGUGGCGGCUAUAGGUCACUCCGCUGAGCACUGUGCACGAGAAUGAACUGAGCAAUGAGGCAAAGGCUUGGGGGCCUGAGAGGGUCACCCCGGGGGGUUAUUCGGAGCAGGGAGACGGGACUAGUGUUCAAGCAGGGAGGAAAUGAAGGAAGGAGAAGAGGCCAUGAGUAUAAGUGACAGAUAAAGGACCUGUGGGGUGUGGGAAGGGUUGAAGUCAGGGCCACACAGCUUAGUUUUGGACAAAAGGAAGAGAUUGGCCACAAUGGAGAAAGAAUUUAUUACUGUAACAAAAGAGGCAAAGGGUGACCACGUGCCCCUCUGUUCACUCCCUUGGAGGACAGGGUGAACCCUGCAUGAGACAGGUGUCCGGUGAGCUGGGAGGGCACGCCCGACGGGAAGCCACAGCGUUUGUGCAAGGGCUCAGGUGUGGGAGCAGAGAAAGCACGUUGGGUCCCUGCUGAGGUCAGACCAGCCCGAGCUCCAUCCAUCCACAGCCCCUCCAGCCAGGCGCGCCACAGGUAGUAGGACUAGAGUGGAACUUCCACAGAACAGACACAGCUCCCUGUCUGUUGCAGAGGCUGGCGGGUGAAUGAUGCUAUAGUUGGUGGUGUGGAUAAAGCGAGGUCCGUGCUCAGGGCAGGAGGAAGUGGGGGCAGCAAAGCAGGUGAGAGUAGUGGGCAGGGCAAACGGCUUCUGCAAGGGACCUAAGGAGAGGGAUGUGGUACCUUCCAGAAGCCGAGUGACGUUCACAGCCACGGGAAUGUAGAACCUGUGUAUGAGCAGGCGGCAACUUGCACUUUAUUCGCAUGAGGCUAACGGGGCCGUUGAUCUUUUCAGCAGGGAGAGCCCUAAUGGGAUGGAUUUGGAAAGCCGCCUGUUUCCACUGCGGGGUGUCAGUUGAACGUGCACUUGACUGAGGAAGGAGACCAGGAGGGGGCUGCAGGGCCCAGGCCAGGACUCCACAGCUUAGGUGCAGGGAGGAGACAACGGGAAGCUGAGGCUUGGCUCCGCGUGGCCAGGGAAGGGACCUGGCCCCAUCCUGCAUUUCGACGGAGUGCGCAGAGCCAGAGGGGUGCAGCAGACCUGUCAGACCCUGCCCAUGGGAGUCCGAGGGGGCUCCUGGAAGAGACUUCAUCCUGGGGGACCUCAAGAGCAGGCUCCGACCACUGGCCUUGCGACCAGAAGAGCAGAAGAGCACCUGGAAGUUCCUGCGGAGCAGCAGCCACGCUGGGCGAGUGAUUUGUGAGAGUAUCUGAGAUGCUCGCGGGGGGGUUCCCAGGGGAGGGGGCAGCUCCAGGUGGCUUUGCAGGAGGAGAGGGGCCAGGGAAGGCAGAAUGACUGCAGCUGCUCCGCCCCCAGCUUGCCUGGGGACGCUCUGGUCAGCACUCGUGCACACCCCCAAGCAGCGGCGCCGUCGCCAGGGCUCCUUACAGACAUGAAGCACUUGCCCCCAAAGUACAUCAUCUGAUGCUCUCAACUGCCCUGCAGAAAGGGUGCUUUGGUGCCCGUUUUAUGAAUGCAGAAAGAGAGGAUUGGAGAAGUUAGGUAAUUUUUCUAAGAUCUCACAGCUCAUGUGUGGUGGGAUCCAACCUUCAUUUAUCCUCACAUCUUUUCAUAUCGCACGCGACUCACACGUCCUCUUUCUCUGUCCUCACACCUCCCGGGAGCACCCAGGGUCCCCCGCGUGCUGCGAGCUCAUGAUGGGAAGGCCCCGUCUCUGACCAUCGGAGAAGGAGACUGAGGUCUGGGCGUCAGCGCCAGCCACAGGAUGAGCCAAGUACACAGAUCCCCCAGGGUCUGGCAAUGACGGCCCUGGUACUAACUCACGUGCUUAAUAUGCUCUUCCUGAGCGAUGGCGUGUGGAAUGGGGCUUCUGUUCAAACCUCCUCUUCCUCUGCAUGGGCAGGGUUAUGGGAACUGCAGUGCUAUUCUCUGUCCCUUCUUUCUCUUUGCAUCUGGGCAAAGAUGCAGAACUUCUAUGCAUGAAGGCUAUGAAUUUGCAACCUGGCUACUACUCACCUGGCAGGGGUGAAAUGACUUUGGGUGAAACUUGGGGAGAUUUCACUGCAACGCCAACUUUUCCUUGGACACAGGGGUCAGCAGAGCUGCCGUCUGCUCCACCUUGGUCUCAUGCAGCACCUUUGCACAAUGAGCGCUUGGCACCAAAGAGAUGUGCCGAUUGAGUGAAAGAGUGAUGUCACUUGAGCAAGAUAACUCCUUUACACCUUAGUGCCCCUCCCAUCCUGCCAAGGGCCACAGAGCAGGGAAGUCUAACUAGGCUCUAGUCUCUCUCUACCCCAUGGCAGUGGGCCUGUGGUUCACAGGCCUCUUUGUGAACCAAUAAUUAUUUAAGGAGCUUUAAAAAAUAUUAGAAAAAAGGUUUUAUUUAAAAGCAUUGGCUUUCUAAUUGCCUUCUAGCUGCAUAACAAUUUAAAUGGAACUAUCUAACUGGAAACAAGCAGACGUUUCCUUCUUAGGCUCCAAGAAGGUGACCUUUGGUGGUGAAUACUGUUUUUAAAACCACAAAUCUCAGAGUUGAUUCUGGCAGGUUGAGAGGCCAUACAGACACCUGGGAAUGCAGAAGGCAUGGCUUUUAGGCCAGUGAGACCCAAAUAAGAGUCCCUAAGGG